AUUAUAUUCGGACUGUCAGUCUACCGUGUAAUGUCACUCGCUUAGUGGAAGAUGUUCCCUUUGUCGC
rnacentral:pre_miRNA from 1 species